UUGGUCAGAAUCGAACCCGAGACCCUUCGGUGCACAGGCCACGCCCUUUUAAAGUGUGCAAUCCCGUGAUUUUUAGUAGAGUCACAAAGUUGUGCAUCAAUCACCACUGUCUAAUUCCAGAACAUUUUCAUCGCUCCAAAAAGAAAAAAACUCCACACACAUUAGCAGCCAAUUGGAACAACCCCUAAGCAGAGGCCCCGCCUCAUUCAUUCUUUUAGUUCAGCACCUCACCCAGUGCCUGGCCAAAUCCAGUCACUCCCCAGCCCCAGCAACCACUAGUCUACUUUCUGUCUCUAUGGACUUGCCUCUUCCGAACAUUUCAUAUAAACUUAAUCAUGCAAUAUCUGGCCUCGUAUGUCUGGCUUUUAUGCCUUAGCAUAAUGUUUUCAAGAUUCAUCCAGAUGUGGUGUGUUCUGGUACUUCACUCCUCUUUAUGGCCAAAUAACAGUCCAUUGUAUGAAUAUACCACACUUUGCUGAUCAGUUCAUCAGUUGAUGGAUAUUUGAGUUGUUUCCACUUUGGCCACUCAACCACCCCAUUUUACAGAUGGUAAAACAGAGGCCGAGAGUCACCAUAACCUGGAUGGAAUAGGGGCCCAGGCCUCCCCUAACAUCCACCUCUUCCCACGGCAUCGCUCUGGGAGAACAUAAGGAGCAGAGGGUCUAAGCCCGGCAACAGAUUCCCUGCUGGUUCACAGCAGCAGCCUUCAAACCGGAGUAUCUCGUAAUCUGCUGCUGGUUCGAGAAAUGCCCGGCCACAGCUCAGCCUUGAAAAGGAGGAUCAUGGCUUCUGUCCCCCUCCCGGGCCCAAGUCACCAUCACCUCUUCUCUGCUCAGCUCCUAAUUGGUCUCCCUGCUUUUCUCCCUGCCCCACUACAGUCUUUUCUCAAUUUUAGGACUCAGAGGGAGUGGCCGUUAAAACCCAAGUCAGGUCACGUCACUGCUUUGCUCAUAACCCUCCAGCAGCUCCCAUCACACUCAGACUAAAAGUCAAAGUCCUAACUAUGGCCUUUGCAUGCUCCCAUGAUCCUCUCCAUCUUUGACAUCAUCUCUCUGUGCCCCAGCCUCGCUGCUCUUUCUCAAACACCAAGCACUCUCCUGCCUCAGGACCUUUGCACUGCUUCUUCCUUCUUCUUGCAUCACUCUCCUCCUCACGGCUCAUUACCUCAUUUUCUUUGCUAAAAAACUGCCUUACCAAAGAGGACUUUCCUCGAAACCUUAUGUAAAACAACUCUCCCCUUUCAUGCUUUCUCUACUUAUGCUGCUUUUUUUAAAGCACUAAUUACCAUCUGACAUAUGAUAUAGAUAUUUGUUCACUUGCUUCUCAUCUGUCUCCUUCACUAGAAUGUCAGCUCCAUGAGAGCAGGGAGUCUGGUUCAUGUUGUUCAUUACUGUAGCCCCAGUGCCCAGAACAGAGCUGGCACAUAGUAGGUGUUCAAUAGGCAUUAAGAGAUAAGGGAUUCAAACCUUCCAGUGAAUAAGCAGUCUAGCCCUCUCACCAAUCCGCCCAUCAGGCUGAGACUAUGACAAUAACAAUAGCAGUUGAUUGUUCUAGAGCCUUUCCUAUGAAGCCAGGACCUUGCCCUUAAUCCUUGAACCCUGAGAGUUGGAGAUGAUAAUAAGCUCAGAGGGGUUAAGCGAUUUGCCCAAGGAGACGGGAAUGGCAGCAGAAGAGGAGCCCAGGCAUCCAGCCUGACUCCUGAGCAGAGCUCUUAAGCCGCUGAGCCACAAUGUGCCAUACUCUCAAGAAAGAAAACAAAAAACAAAACAGUUGAAAUGGAAGCCACGGUUGAGCUCUGGGCGCCAGGCGAGACUGCGGCUUUCCGCGUGCGCGGCGGUCCCGCCCCACCGCUCUUUGAUCUUUGCAGCGCCCGUGGCCCCGCUGACCCCGCCGAGGAGCCCAUGGCUGGGCCCACCACCCACGUUGCCCCCAUGCUGUUCCUUGCCCUCCUGGCGUUUCUGGAGCUGAGCCUGGCCGGCUCCCUGGGCCCUGGAACCCCUGCUCGAAACCUCCCUGAGAAUCACAUCAACCUCCCAGGCCCAGCACUGUGGACGCCUCAGGCCAGCCACCACCACCGGCGGGGCCUGGGCAAGAAGGAGCGGGGGCCAGGCAUGCCUGGCCGGGCCCAGGAUGGAGCUGUGGGCACCUCCACCAGGCAGGCCUCCAGGCUGCCAGGGGCAGGGGGGCUGCUGCCUAGGCAAAGUCCUGCAGGCCUGCUGCAGGACAAGAGUCUGCUCCUGGGGCUGGCCCUGCCCUACCCUGAGAAGGAGAACCGGUCUCCAGGGAAGAGACGCAGCAGGGAGCACAAGAGACGCAGGGAGAGGUUGAAACUGCACAGAGGCCGAGCCUUGGUCCGAGGCCCCAGCUCCCUCAUGAAGAAGGUGGAGCUGCCCGAAGACCAGGCGCUGGACGCUGCCAUGGAGGAGUCGUCCACCAGCCUGGCCCCGACCAUCCUCUACCUCACCACCUUUGAGGCAGCACCUGCCACGGAAGAGUCCCUGAUCCUGCCUGUCACAUCCCUGUGGCCCCAGGCUCAGCCCAGGCCUGACGGGGAGGUGAUGCCCACGCUGGACAUGGCCUUGUUCGACUGGACCGAUUAUGAAGACUUAAAACCUGAGGCCUGGCCCUCUGCCAAAAAGAAAGAGAAGACCCGGGGUAAACUCUCCAGUGAUGGCAAUGAGACAUCCCCAGCCGAAGGAGAGCCAUGCGACCAUCACCACGACUGCCUGCCAGGGACCUGCUGUGACCUGAGGGGGCACAUCUGCAUGCCCCACAACCGGGGCCUCAACAACAAAUGCUUCGACGACUGCAUGUGUGCGGAAGGGCUGCGCUGCUAUGCCAAGUUCCACCGGAACCGCAGGGUCACGCGGAGGAAGGGGCGCUGCGUGGAGCCCGAGACGGCCAACGGCGACCAGGGAUCCUUCAUCAACGUCUAGUGGCCCAGACUGAGGCGCCUCCCCGCAGGCCUGGGGACUGAGCGCUGGAGGUUUGGAGAAGCGACAGUUUGUUUAUAACUAGCGGUGGGAGAGCAAAUGGGGGACCAGAUGUCUGAGGCUGCAGGCUCCAACCCAGGACCCGAUCCAGGACCCGCAGCCCCGGGAAGGGAGCGCUGGGGAACUGCCUCUGCCCAGGAGCCGAGCUAGCAGCUCGUCUGCACCCACACCCCUGAGGGACCCACAGGGCCUGAGCAACUGGUGCCCUGUUCUCCGCGAUGGCAAUGUCAAUAGUGCCCUCUACUGUCCGACCGCAGCACUGCAACAGCUUCGAGUUUUAAAAGUGAAGAGGUUUUUGAACAGAAAAGAAAUGGGAACUUGGGUGGGAGAUGAGCACGAAACACCUCUUUUGUGCCAGGCACUGCGCUACCUGCGUGACGUACGUUAUCCCGCGACCAUUUCGCCAUCUUACAGGUGAGGCAACAGCCACCGUUGAGUCAUCAGACCUGCCCGAGGUCCCAGCUCAGUGCUCCUCAGACCUUAACCUGUGUACCAGCCCUCUGGGGUCGGGUGCAAAUUCAGAUUCCUACUCAGCCGAUUCUGCCUUUCCUACAAGCCGAGGGCCUGCCCACGCCGCUGGUCCCCGGCCCCACCGAGAGCUCCCACCGUGUCUUGGGGAGCAGAUGUGGAGUUGUGAUCGGAACCUGGCCCAACGUUGUCGGUCUCCACAGCCCGUGUUCUUGCUCCUUCACAACUAAGGACUUACUGCAGGCUCUCCAGGGCUUUCAGCGAGAGAGGCGUGUUCCCUGCUAGUCCUUUCUCUGGGUGAAGCUGCAAUGACUGACCGCUCUCCUCCUUCCCUGGACAAGAGGCGGGCUGUCUGUGCCGGCAGUGAACACGGUCAGGACUCCACCUGCCACGUCUCUUGCAUUUUCUCACCCUCACCUUUUACUGAGCGUUUGCUCGGAGCUAAGCACUAAACCAGGCAGACGGGGCCUCUGCCCUCACCUGGGCCUCGCUGUGGUCCUUCGACCAGACCUCGUGGGUGGGAGUUUCACACCUUCAUCUCCUUCCCCAUCUUAGGGUUGGGGCAGCCAAGGUCCCACACAGAUGACGGGGCUGGUCACCGCAGGCCAGCCUCUGGCAACCUCAUUCCAGGCCUGGGUGGCCGAGUGCCGAGAAAUACUGAUGCCAACUCUGGCAGGACGGGGAGGAACUCAGUAACACCAUCGAAGCUGGGCCGGGCACGCCCCGAUGCAUCUUGGGAAAGCAUGCACUGGCGAGGGGGUGGCCUGGCUUUGCACCGGGAAGGGUGUCUCUUGUCUCCGUGGCAGCGGCAGCCAGCCCUGCUCAGCUCCACGCCCUCUGUGACCCUUAUCUAUGCUUUCGCUUUCCGUGGUUUCCGUUACCCGAGAUCGACCUCGGUCUGAAAUUAUUAAACAGAAAAUUGCAGAAGUAACUCAUACAUUUGAAAUCGGUGACAUUUUGAGUCGCAGGGUGAACUCACGCCAUCCCGCUCUGUCCGCCCCGGACAUAAACCAUCCUUUGUCCAGUGUAUCCACGCUGUUCACUAAACUCCCCGUUAGCUGUCCCGGUUGUCAGAUCAACUGUGGCCAGGCUUGUGUUUGUCACCCUUAUUUUCCUUAAUAGUGACUCACUCCCCUCACUUCGUCUCGUCACACAGGCCUCAUGUCAUCUCACAUCAUCACAAGAAGGGUGAGUCCAGUACGAGAUAUUCUGAGAGAGAGAACACGUUCCUAUAACUUCUAUGGCAGGAUGUUGUUGUAUUUGUUCCAUUUUUAUUAGUUAUUGUCAUUAAUCUCUUACUGUGCCUAAUUGA